GGAGAAAUCAAAGGUGUCUCAGAGAGA
rnacentral:piRNA from 1 species